rnacentral:lncRNA from 1 species
GCUUGAAUGGAAACAUACUUACAUGUGAGUGAGGCCAAGCAAUAACAGAACCAAUAGCACCCCUUACUGUUUUUCUCUUUAUUUCUCGAGUUCAUCGAAUACAACACGGCUGUAGGUUUAUCCUGUUUUUCAAGAAAUUAAACAUUUGUUAUUGAUGAACCUGAGAAGAUUCCAUUUUAUGCUGAAAAGAACAAUUUCACAAAGAACUAGACCAACUAUCUAUUAUACAAUCAUUGUCAUUUGGAUAUUAACCUAUAUGUACCUGUUUAGUGACUUGGUGAUGGGCACAUAGCUUGGUUGCAUUGUUAUUUCUAGCAUGAGCAUUCUGCAAUUAGAUAGGAAUACGCGUGAAUGGAGAUACAUGAUCAGCUAUAAUCAAUAAUGACAAUUUAGAAGAUUUCUGAUACAUGCACUACGGAGCCUUAUGCUACAUGUACUUUCGGUCUACACACUUUGCUAUCAAAUUGGAUUAAAGUCUUACUACAAAAUUAUGUAUUGUGAAAACUAAACAUGAAUGCACAAUGCAAACAAAUGAAGUAAACAUCAUGUAAAUUUAUACAUUCAAUACAUAAUUCACCUAAUAUUUAAGGUCCAGGUGUUCCUCAACAUCUAUGCAAGGUUUCCAUCAAAAAAGAACACCCAUGCGAGGUUGAUAUUUUAUUACUACUCAUGUAUCAAUUCAAAAGUAAGUAAUUAUUUUCUUUCAAUACGAGAUCUCUUGGAGCAGCAAUGAUAUGUGUAUGACUAACUUGUGGUUCCAACAGGCCAAAUUGUGUUAUUGUUGUAUGCAAUACAAUUUCUAAUUGCUUGCACUUCAACACGGAUGAUAUUCUGAUAUUCUAAAUCGCCUCCAGAAGACAUAAAAAUGCCUUCGAAUGCUUUUCUGUAAAAUGCUAGAAAAGGUCGAAAAGGGAAAGGUUAAUCAAGGCGCUAUUGAAAUACGCCGGGGAAUAUAUGGCGCGGUUUAAAAUCGCCUUAAAAGCUCCGUUGUUCUAGGGCGUUUCCUUAGAAUGCCGUAUUAACUUGUUAGUGCAAAAUCCUAUUUCUUUGCCAGUCUACGGCAGGCCUCCUGGUUGUAUCUCAAAAUCUGAAACUGUACCCCAUCAAUUCCGCCUUGUGUGGUUGCUCAAACUCUGAAAAUGUACCCCAUCCAUUCCAUUUUGUUAACCCUAUAUAUGGCCAACUCUUAGUCGCUACGCCGUAUGCAACUGACAUAGUUCAUGAGUAUAUGUCAUUUCUGAAUCUCUACCCAUGAUUCCUCCUUUUAAAUAUGUCCAACUCUUAACUCCAUAAGCAGUAUGGGACUAAAUUUAAGCACGAAUGUUGCGCGAGCAAAGAAAGCAAUAUAUCAGCAGAUGCGUGAUUCGAACAUAGCACAUCUUGUGUAUAUCGGUAGACCAACGACCAGUAACACCAAGGUAGCUAUUUGUAUUCCAAUGGGAAGAGACGUCUUUUAACAUAUAUACACAGACAUGUCUGACUGUCAAAACAACGUCACUGUAUUCUCCAGCGUCGGCGUUCGACUGCCUCGACGUUGCAAUUAGAUGGCGACACCCGCGAGUGAGAGUCUCACUCGUGCACAUAGCAGCAGCUCGGCCACCUGCGGUCACCACAUUCAAUCCGAGGCAAUUUUCUAAAACGCCUCCAUAGCUGCAUCAAUCCGAGACAUUUUUCCUCAAAUGCCGCCAAAGCUGCAUCAAUCCGAGGCACUUUCCUAAAUCACCUCCAUAGCUACAUCAAUCAGAGGCAGUUUCCUACACCGCCUCCAUAGUGCAUCAAUCCGAGGCACUUCCCUAAAACGCCUCCAAAACUGAUCAAUCGGGGGCGUUUUCAAGGUGCCCUUAUAAAAAUGCCUUCAAUCAACGACCGUGGUGUAGUGUUGGUUGAAUCUGACUUAUAAUUUGCUAGUGGUGUCAGGAUAGUAUUUAAAAAGAACUUGUAAAAACAGGAUUGAUUUUUCAUAAUAAUGUCAUUUACCUUGCACUUACACACAAAGUUAGACAAGCUCUAGGAUAGUCAUUGGCAUUUGGAUAUGUAGCAUAGGUUUACCUGCUUAGUGACUUGGUGAAGUUGUAUACUUGGUUCAGGACCACCUUGCUGCAUUGCAAAGCAGCACAAGAACUAUCUGAAAGAAAUAAUCACCAGUUUAGUUAUUUCACUACUACAGACUACAGAACUACAAAAAUAACUGCUCACCCAAACAGCUUGUAACGAUCGGGAAUAUUUUGGGACUCUUCCCAAAUGGUUGUGCCAACAUAACUUUUGAAUAUUUUGUGUUACUAGUAACUAUGCGUGAUGUGCAGAUAAAAAAACUAUGUGUGAUGGGGCUUAAUGUGCGUUACUAGUUACUCUGCUCCUACCAUGGAGCAGAGCUUCUGAAGUUUGCACAACCGAACAACAGAACCUCUACAGAUUAACCCACUACUCCCUCCGUUCCUAAAUAGUUGUCUUUUUAGAGAUUUCAAAUGAUUACCAUAUACGGAUGUAUAUAGACAUAUUUUAGAGUGUAGAUUCACUCAUUUUGCUCCGUAUGUAGUCACUUGUUGACAUCUCUAGAAAGACAAAUAUUUAGGAACGGAGGGAGUAGAAAUUAAAUUACGCCAUGAGUUUGAGACCAAAGAAUUUGACUAAUAUCUAGACCAAGACCUGAGAGAGCACAACGCAAUGGUCAGGACCAAUACGUACCUGGGGCGCAGCUACCCUAGGCAGGAUGGGUGUACUUCCGUGCUUGCUCUGUUUAAUCCACCUGUAGGUUGAAGACGAAGUUGCUCGUUGCAGCAGAUGAUUCCUCCAACCUACCCGCCCAAUCGCCGCCGUCGGCCCUGACGCACAUGUCGGACGGUCUCUGUCCCCCCAAUCUCCACGGCCUCCAAUCGCCCGCCCGCCUGUCAAGCCUCCAUCAAUCCGCCCACUGUUCAUGUAUUGAGGCGAUGCACAUCAGAGGCCAGCGGAUUGGAGGGAUCCGAUUAGAUGGAUUAGAUGGAUUAGGAGGUUGGAGAAGAGAAGUGGAGAGAUGGCGGCAUGGGUGAGGAGAAGUGGAGAGAGGGCAGCGUGGCGGAGGAUAUA